rfam:Schistosoma mansoni strain Puerto Rico chromosome 1, complete genome
AUCCAGCUGACGAGUCCCAAAUAGGACGAAACGCGCGACCUGAAC